GCCAAGAUUCUGGAGCCAUGGCAGUUUGGGAAUCUUUUAGGGAAGUAUGCUCUCAACCAAUGAUUCUCAGCCUCCCUAAUCCUGUAACACUAAUAUAUUUUCUCAUGGCUUUGUGACUCUUAACCAUUACUUCAUUUUGCUUCUCUUCAUAAUUCAAAUUUUGCUCCUGAUGUGAUUAUAAAGAAAAAUGGAUAGAAUAUCUGAUAUGGAAAAUAUAUGUGACCCCGUAAUGAUUAUGACCCACAAGUUGAGAAUCACUGGUCUAAACUGCUAAUUUUAAACAAAAAUGUUUUUCAAGUACUUUCUACAAUGUACAUUGACCAUUACUUUUUUUGUUUUAUUUUCAAUAAAAAAUGAUUUUAUUAUUAACAUUGAUGGAAGCUUACUAACCUUGGAUUUUUAUGAAAAUUGGCUUAGCAUCCCAGAUGAAGGAACUCUGGCUGGAAAAAUUAAUGCCAUUCAAAGCCUUUUGCAACAGAUCCCAGAACCAAACUUUAUACUAUUAAAACAUCUCAUAUGUGUAUUAGUAAUAAUAAAAGAUUCUUCCAUGAAUAAUUUAGACAGUUACAGGUUAUCUCUGCGCAUAGCUCCACAUGUACUGUGGGGUCAGACUUCGAGAGAUUCAUUAUUUGGGAGUGACGUCUUAAGAAAGGAAACCCUAGGAUUGCAUUCUUAUGGAGUGCAGUAGAAUAUGUAUUGAUCUAUUUCAGGAAGAUUUGGAAAGGGAGAUUUUUAAUGUAGUUUAAAAUGUCUCUUAUACAAAUUAUGAUUGACAACUAUGAUCAAAUAUUUGGAAAUGAUGAUAUAUUUAGUAAACACAUUGACAAAAGGUCUGAAGACUUAAAGACAUACAAAGAAUCAAUAAAUUAUUCUGGAAAAUCUCCUAUUAUGACAAAAGCCAUAGCUGGCCACAACUGGAAAACCAAUGAUAUUGAUGAAAAACUUAAUAUUUCAUAUGCUGCACUGCAGGAAGAAGGUCCUACAGAGAAACAGAAAGGCUAUAUAUAUAUACCAAGCCACCAGUUUAUUCUGAUCCAACACCACCAAGAAAGAAAUGCUUAUUUGGCAAAAAUCUUGCAAGCAUUUAUGUCGACAGAAAGCUGCCUGCUCCAAAACUUGAUAUGUUAUCCAUAAUUGCAGGGAAAGGACGAGAAUCAGAUCACAUAUUCGAAAUUCUACCUGAAAAUUCACACUGGUGCCUCAGAGAGAGAAUUGACAGUGAACAACUCAUUGAAUGGAUUAAAGAAUGCAUGCUUGUAAUAGCAUCUGUCUUGAAGGACUUCAUUGCAAACAUUGAA